AUGUAGGAUAGGAAGCUGGAGCACAAGGUGGGGAUAAGUCUCAUGUUCAAAGUGGACAGGGAGUUGGGGAUGAGAACCCACAGCUUGGUGGAAAUGAGUUCGGGGAUAAGAACAUACAAGAAGAGGAACCCCCAGCAGAAGAAAGCAGCAGAAGAAAAAGAAAGCAGCGUCCCGGAAAAGAAAAGCAGUUGAAAAUGUCGUUCCAAUUGUCAUUACGGAAGGUGAAGAAGAAGAAACUGAACCAACAAAUAAGAAAAAGCAUGGAAGUGUCCUGUUAUGAGGAUUUAUCCAGACAGAGUUGUCGACGCGGUACCAAAAGGCACUACUCAAAAAGAAUGGAUUAGGGAGGUUGGAUUUUCCACAUUUCUAGAUGUGAAGUUUAAUGAACUUGACCGGUUUUUUCUGUUGUGGUUAAUGGGUCGGUGGGAUCCUGAAACCCAGUUACUACGCAUUAGGGAUGACUAUGAGAUCAAGAUCACUGAUGAAGUGGUGGGGUGGAUAUAUGGGCUGCCAUUCAGUGAUUAUACAUUCACUAUUGAAGAAAGUGUUACAGAUAUGUCCUUAUGGUGUGUACAAAAUGCAGAGGACAAAGAGUACAAGAAGCUGAAGAAUUCCUAUUCCAACAGAGAGGGUAUAGUUUAUGGCAUUGUUCAUGCUGAUAUGACAGAGAAUCUGAACAACAAGGAGAGGUUCUUGCAGUCCUAUGUUUUGUAUGUAUUUGUCAACCUAAUAUGUACAACUCUGAACAAUUGGAUUAGUCAACUUUUAUGCUGGAUUUUGAAGUCGCGGUACCUGGAAGAUGCACGGAAUUGGAAUUUUUCAAAGUUUGUGCUUGACUGGAUGAUCAAGCAGCAUAGAGAACUGGAUGCAGAGAAGGUGGGAUCCCCCAUCGUGCUAAUGAUUGCAUACCUUGACAGAUUGAAAUUAGGCGAUAAAGGAAAUCGGUGGCAUACCGAUAGACCAAGGCUUGGAAUGUGGCAGCAAGGUGAUAUUGAACGCGCGAUUCGUGCAGACACUGCUGCUGAUGGGUCGUAUGGUGCAGCAGAGGUUGUUAGGGAUGUUGUGUAUCGGAAAGAAUACCCUAUUGGUCCGCGGAAGGAUCUUCCUGUGUGGAUGACGAGUCCGCCUCCUGUGAAUCCUAAAGUUACCAUCGUGGAAAGGAAAAGAAAGAGACGGAAAUGCAGAACACAGGUCAGGGACUUGAAAGAAUACAAAGACAUUCAACACUAUAGUUCUUCCGGAGAAGAAGAGACAAGCAAAGGACAUGAGGAAGAGGCCAAUGCGGGACGAACUCAGAGGAGUAACAGAAAAAGACAAAGAAUCAGGAACUUUGUGUAGUUCCACCUGCUUUAACCCCUGCACGGGUUACAAGAUCAAGAAGCAGGUUGAUACAAAGGCAAACACAUGUUGAAGGGGAUAAAAAUGUAAAUUACUUGCAUAUAAAGUUUAUGACAUUGUGUUUGAAAAAGUUAAGCAUUUCUUGCCUAUAAGUAUAUAAUUAUUAGCAUCAUUUUACAUAUUACAGUAGCUUAUUAUUCAUAAAGGCAUCAUUUUUGUUUCACAUGUACAAAUGAAAACAAGGGAAACAAUCACCACUAGGAAAGGUGGCAGAACAAAAACAAAGGAUGUUAUCUCAAAAAAGAAAAGGACAAAAGGUAAGAAGGAAUCAAGUGAGGAUGAUUUAAGCACUGAGAGCAUCAGUGAGGAUGACGAAGCUGAUGACGAUGAUGAGGAGAAGGAUAGGAAUACGGAGGACGAUGAGGAUGAUGAAGAAACUGCCAGUGAUGAUGGGAGUGAAGGAGAACCAGGAAAUAAUGGUGAAGAUGAUGAUGAGCCUAAUAUAGAGGCCACAAACCCCAAAUCUGGGAAAGGAGAUGUGGGUGGGCCUGAUAAUGAAAAGAAUGGUAACGGGGGAAAUGAUGGUGAGGAAGAUAAAACGGUGGAAGAUGAUGGUGGAGAAGGGGGGGGUGAUGAUGACCGAAAUGAAAAGAAUGCAUAACCAAAUGUGGACUGCGACAACGAUUACCUGAGCGACCUUGAUGACAAUGAGGGAUUGCCCCAGAUUUUUUAUCACCAGCGACGCAGCAUCACGGCGAUCUGUGACAGAAAGUCAAACUAUACUAGGUUUAAGGAUCAGAUUUUGUUCAAGUGGUAUGAUGUAACAGUCAACCGUCAAUUGAAACACAAAGCAUGUAAGAAGAAGUCUCCCAUUCCAAUAGAGGUUAUGGACGAUUUUGCAGUUUACACAAACAACGAAGACUCCGGUACUGCAGAUUUUGGAUUCUACGUCUUUAGGCCAUCAUUUUUGUGCAACCUACUGGAAGAGGAUGCAAAACCUAAGCCUGUUGUUGAACAACUCUUGAUCGAUGAAUCGGAAAUGAUCGACAACUAUUUCUUGACUGGAGGGAGAAAAUUCAAGGAUAAUCGGAAGACGUUGAAACGUAUAGGUUUGUCAAGUGUGAGGACGUACCAACAACAAAAUCAGUCCAUGAGACGGGCAUGCUUUGUAUCCUCUUCCUCUAUAGUCAAACCCAGUCUGUUUUCUCAUGGCUUCGUAUGUAUGAAAAGAAUGAUCUCCUGUUUCGAAAAUUCAUGAUGUGGAGGAUGUUAAUGAGGACGUGCAAUGAAGUCAAGAACAACCUAGAUGGUCUACUUUUGUAGAUUUGGGGACAUUUGAAGUAUGAACAAUUUAUUUUCUAUGUUUCAAGUCAAAUCGAACUAGGUAAUUUCUUUAAGCAGAAACUUUUAACUUUUUAUUCUUUGUCAUUUUUUUAAACAAGGGAGUAGUCUAAACUAUUAACAUUUCCUCCUCUGUCCUUUAUUAAACAGCAUCACUAUGAAUUUCCACAAAUCAUAGUAUUAUAUUUGGAGUCA